AUUAAACUUAAAAAAGCUCAGUUAGCUGGUGUGUUUACAAACAUUUUCAACUAGUCCCUGAGCCAGGCUGCUGUCCCCCCCUGCCUGAAGUCCUCUAUUAUUGUCCCCCUCCCUAAGAAGACCAGGAUCAGUGAUCUGAAUGACUAUCGCC